ensembl:miRNA
ACGGCAGCGCCGCGGGAGCCUCGGUUGGCCUCGGAUAGCCGGUCCCCCGCUCGUCCCCGCCGGCGGGCCGU